GUGCUUGCUUCAGCAGCACAUAUACUAAAGUUGGAACAGUACAGAGAAGAUUAGCAUGGCUCCCAGGCAAGGAUGACACACAAAUUCAUGAAGUGUUCCAUAUUUAA
rnacentral:snRNA from 1 species